rfam:Foot-and-mouth disease virus HKN/2002, complete genome.
AAGCAGGUUUCCACAACUGAUAAAACUCGUGCAUUUUGAAACCCCGCCUGGUCUUUCCAGGUCUAGAGGGGUGACACUUUGUACUGUGCUCGACUCCACGCUCGGUCCACUGGCGGGUGUUAGUAGCAGCACUGUUGCUUCGUAGCGGAGCAUGGUGGCCGUGGGAACUCCUCCUUGGUGACAAGGACCCACGGGGCCAAAAGCCACGUCCAGAUGGACCCACCAUGUGUGCAACCCCAGCACGGCAACCUUACUGCGAACACCACCUUAACGUGACACUGAUACUGGUACUCGGUCACUGGUGACAGACUAAGGAUGCCCUUCAGGUACCCCGAGGUAACACGGGACACUCGGGAUCUGAGAAGGGGAUUGGGACUUCUUUAAAAGUGUCCAAUUUAAAAAGCUUCUAUGUCUGAAUAGGCGACCGGAGGCCGGCGCCUUUCCAUUACCUACUACUAAAUC